UGGCAGCGACAGAACGUUUCG
rnacentral:misc_RNA from 1 species